GACCAUGUGAAGAUGGGAGAAAAGAUUGAAGUUAUGAAGCCAACUGAGGAAUGCCAAGGCUUGCCAGCAGCCACCAAGAACUAGGAGAGAGCCCUGGAAGAGGAUUUGAAUGAAAACAGACCCUUUCCAGUCCUGUGGCCAUUGCUGAGUUUUCCCAAUUUGAUGGCAUGUUGAGUGCAGCACUUUCACAGCAUCAUCUUCCAGGAUUUGAAAUAGCUCAACUGGAAUUCCAUCACCUCCACUAGCUUUGUUCGUAGUGAUGCUUUCUAAGGCCUACUUGACUUCACAUUCCAGGAUGUCUGGCUCUAGAUGGUGAGCUCAGAAGCAGCAUUUAAGGAUGAAAAUGGUUGAAAUGCACCAACAGGUCCACAAAAGGAUCUCUGAGACUUUGUUCAUUUAUCUGAGUUCCCCGAACUCUUUAGCUCCUCUCCACCAUCCCUCAAUCUCUCCAUUUCCCUACAACUUCCCAGUGGGGAGGACGACAGAAAAAGAAGCAAAGGAAUGAGAUGAUGUUGAUGGUUUACAAGGCUACAAUCAACAUUUUUGGAUUUUUGGAUUUUAAUGGCAUGUUUAUAUUGCUGAAAUUAAAU
ensembl:lncRNA